UAUAUAUUGAGUCCGUCAGUCUACCGAGCAACAUCACCCGCUCGGUGGAAGAUCUUCUCUUUGUUGU
rnacentral:pre_miRNA from 1 species